CACCACCCAACUCAACUCGAUCCACGGAGAUCCGAAUCGAAUUAUUUAAAAGGAUCCGUGGAUUUGGAUCGGAUUUUAAAAUUGGAUUCGUUAUUUUCUCAGAUCGAGUAUGGAUUUACUAAAUUUUAAUCCAAUCCGAUCCGACCUACUUGAUUUUUUGAGUUUAUAUAGAUUUUAUGCUCAAUGAUCCGAUUUGAUCCGAACCCAUUAUAUGAUCUAAACCUAUUAUAUACUAGCAUGGGCUAAGAAUAAAUUACAGC
rnacentral:lncRNA from 1 species